rnacentral:rRNA from 1 species
UACGUAGGGUGCAAGCGUUAAUCGGAAUUACUGGGCGUAAAGCGUGCGCAGGCGGUUUUGUAAGUUUGUCGUGAAAUCCCCGGGCUCAACCUGGGAAUUGCAUUUGUGACUGCACGGCUAGAGUGUGUCAGAGGGGGGGUAGAAUUCCACGUGUAGCAGUGAAAUGCGUAGAGAUGUGGAGGAAUACCGAUGGCGAAGGCAGCCCCCCUGGGAUAACACUGACGCUCAUGGCAACGAAAAGCGUGGGGGAGCAAACAGG